rnacentral:rRNA from 1 species
GUCUAUGGCUGUACCACCCUGAAUGUGCCCAAUCUCGUCUGAUCUCGGAAGCUCAGCAGGUUUGGGCCUGGUUAGUACUUGGAUGGGAGACCACCUGAGAAUACUGGGUGCUGUAGGCU